GAAAGGUAGAAGGACUUACUCUUCGGAGUGAGAGCGUACACAGGUGCUGCAUGGCUGUCGUCAGCUCGUGUCGUGAGAUGUUGGGUUAAGUCCCGCAACGAGCGCAACCCUGCAUUCAGUUGCCAUCGGUAAGGCCGGGCACUCUGGAUGGACUGCCGGCGACAAGCCGGAGGAAGUGGGGACGACGUCAAGUCAUCAUGGCCCUUAUGUCCAGGGCGACACACGUGCUACAAUGGCCGGCACAACGGGAAGCGAAGGGGCGACCCUGAGCGGAUCCCACAAAAGCCGGUCUCAGUUCGGAUUGCAGUCUGCAACUCGACUGCAUGAAGUUGGAAUCGCUAGUAAUCGUGGAUCAGCCAAGCCGCGGUGAAUACGUUCCCGGGCCUU
rnacentral:rRNA from 1 species